rnacentral:rRNA from 1 species
UGGGGAAUUUUGGACAAUGGGCGAAAGCCUGAUCCAGCAAUGCCGCGUGUGUGAAGAAGGCCUUCGGGUUGUAAAGCACUUUUGUCCGGAAAGAAAUCCUUGGCUCUAAUACAGUCGGGGGAUGACGGUACCGGAAGAAUAAGCACCGGCUAACUACGUGCCAGCAGCCGCGGUAAUACGUAGGGUGCAAGCGUUAAUCGGAAUUACUGGGCGUAAAGCGUGCGCAGGCGGUUUGCUAAGACCGAUGUGAAAUCCCCGGGCUCAACCUGGGAACUGCAUUGGUGACUGGCAGGCUAGAGUAUGGCAGAGGGGGGUAGAAUUCCACGUGUAGCAGUGAAAUGCGUAGAGAUGUGGAGGAAUACCGAUGGCGAAGGCAGCCCCCUGGGCCAAAUACUGACGCUCAUGCACGAAAGCGUGGGGAGCAAACAGGAUUAGAUACCCUGGUAGUCCACGCCCUAAACGAUGUCAACUAGUUGUUGGGAUUCAUUUCCUAGUAACGUAGCUAACGCGUGAAGUUGACCGCCUGGGGAGUACGGUCGCAAGAUUAAAACUCAAAGGAAUUGACGGGGUCAUAGCUGUUUCC